rnacentral:rRNA from 1 species
UGGUGGAGUGAUUUGUCUGGUUAAUUCCGUUAACGAACGAGACCUCGACCUGCUAAAUAGUCUAUGGAAUCUUUCGAUUCACAUAUUACUUCUUAGAGGGACUAUCGGUUUGUAGCCGAUGGAAGUUCGAGGCAAUAACA